rnacentral:rRNA from 1 species
GACGAACGCUGGCGGCGUGCCUAAUACAUGCAAGUAGAACGCACAGUUUAUACCGUAGCUUGCUACACCAUAGACUGUGAGUUGCGAACGGGUGAGUAACGCGUAGGUAACCUGCCUGGUGGCGGGGGAUAACUAUUGGAAACGAUAGCUAAUACCGCAUAAUAUUAAUUAUUGCAUGAUAAUUAAUUGAAAGGUGCAAUUGCACCACUACCAGAUGGACCUGCGUUGUAUUAGCUAGUAGGUGAGGUAACGGCUCACCUAGGCGACGAUACAUAGCCGACCUGAGAGGGUGAUCGGCCACACUGGGACUGAGACACGGCCCAGACUCCUACGGGAGGCAGCAGUAGGGAAUCUUCGGCAAUGGACGAAAGUCUGACCGAGCAACGCCGCGUGAGUGAAGAAGGUUUUCGGAUCGUAAAGCUCUGUUGUAAGAGAAGAACGGGUGUGAGAGUGGAAAGUUCACACUGUGACGGUAUCUUACCAGAAAGGGACGGCUAACUACGUG